rnacentral:rRNA from 1 species
GACGAACGCUGGCGGCGUGCUUAACACAUGCAAGUCGAACGGAAAGGCCCUGCUUGCAGGGUACUCGAGUGGCGAACGGGUGAGUAACACGUGGGUGAUCUGCCCUGCACUUCGGGAUAAGCCUGGGAAACUGGGUCUAAUACCGGAUAGGAGCCAUUUUUAGUGUGAUGGUUGGAAAGUUUUUUCGGUGUAGGAUGAGCUCGCGGCCUAUCAGCUUGUUGGUGGGGUAAUGGCCUACCAAGGCGGCGACGGGUAGCCGGCCUGAGAGGGUGGACGGCCACAGUGGGACUGAGAUACGGCCCAGACUCCUACGGGAGGCAGCAGGGGGGAAUAUUGCACAAGGGGCGCAAGCCUGAUGCAGCGACGCCGCGUGGGGGAUGACGGCCUUCGGGUUGUAAACUCCUUUCGCUAGGGACGAAGCUUUUUGUGACGGUACCUAGAUAAGAAGCACCGGCUAACUACGUG